ACAAUAAAAAUUAAAUAAUCUCGUAUAAUAGCAGGAAUAAGGCCUGCGAGUCUCUACCGAAUUACCGUAAAUAAUUCGACUACGAGUGAAUGUAGCCUUAGC
rnacentral:ncRNA from 2 species